rnacentral:pre_miRNA from 1 species
GACUUCAACUGAAAAAGUCAUCAACAACAAAGUUGUAUAAUCCAUCUAGAUCUACAAUUUUUAUUUUGGUCAUUUAUUCAUCCGACAAAGUGAUUUGUAACAUUGUUCACAAAAUAUAGAUAUCUAGUAUCUACAUUUUGUGAACAAUAUUACUGUCGCUUUAUCGGAUGAAGAAAUGACCAAAAUAAAAGUUAUAUAUAUUGAUGAGUUUUACAACUUUGUUGUUGAUAACUUUUUCAGUUGAAAUC